rnacentral:piRNA from 1 species
UGCUUGUAGUACAAUGCCUGUUGGUCUCGAA